rnacentral:rRNA from 2 species
ACCCGCUGAAUUUAAGCAUAUUAAUAAGCGGAGGAAAAGAAACUAACAAGGAUUCCCCUAGUAACGGCGAGCGAACGGGGAAGAGCCCAGCACCGAAUCCCGCAGCAUGCGCUGUUGGGAAAUGUGGUGUUAAGGUUGCUCUCUGCAUCUGCUUGCGCUUCUCAAGUCCACCUGAUUGUGGCUCGAGCCCAGAGAGGGUGUAAGGCCCGUAGAGGGACGCGAGCACGGUGCCUGGAGCUAACCUACGAGUCGGCUUGUUUGGGAAUGCAGGCCAAAGCGGGUGGUAAACUCCAUCCAAGGCUAAAUACUGGCACGAGUCCGAUAGCGGACAAGUACCGUGAGGGAAAGUUGAAAAGAACUUUGAAGAGAGAGUUAAAUAGUACGUGAACCCGCUUAGAGGCAAACGGGUGGUGCCCAAACUGGCUCGGGGAAUUCAGCCGGGGUUCCAGUGGGGUGCAGCUGCAUUCGGAUCUUCAUCGACUGUUGCGGCUGUUCUCCUGCUUGCUCCGGUGUACUUUCUUCGCUGCCUUCGCCACGACCGACGAUACCGUUUUCCUGGCCUGCGACUGGAGGAAGGUGCCGUGCCGUUCUCGGUGCGCGUUAUAGCCUCCGGUGCUUUGGCCAGCGGGACGUUGGAUUUGAUGCGGCGCCCGCCCUUUGGGCUCGCACGGCUGGCCAGUUCGGUCCGGCACUGCUUGCACUGGAAACCAGUUCAAAUUGUGUUCGGAUUGUUCGCGGCUGGUCCUCUGCGAGUUGGCGUCUACAGUCUGUGGUGUACAAUUGGGUAGACUACCCGACCCGUCUUGAAACACGGACCAAGGAGUCUAACAUGUGCGCGAGUCAUGGGGAUUCUUACGAAACCCAAAGGCGCAGUGAAGGUAAAGGCUUGUCUUGCACAGGCUGAGGUGGGAUCCUGGUUACUGCUAGGCGCACCACCGGCCCGUCCUAUCUGUCUCUGUCAGUGGGACGGAGCAAGAGCGUACACGUUGGGACCCGAAAGAUGGUGAACUAUGCUUGCGCAGCUCGAAGUCAGUGGAAACACUGAUGGAGGAGCGCAGCGCUUCUGACGUGCAAAUCGAUCGUCAAACGUGAGUAUAGGGGCGAAAGACUAAUCGAACCAUCUAGUAGCUGGUUCCCUCCGAAGUUUCCCUCAGGAUAGC